GCUUGUGGUCUAGAGGUAUGAUUCUCGCUUAAGAUGCGAGAGGUCCUGGGUUCAAAUCCCGGACAAGCC
rnacentral:tRNA from 1 species